GGAGCGAGAGGGAGAGAGAGUGGGAAAGAUGAACCGAGGAAGAAGAAGAACAAGAGAAAGAGUGAAACGGAUUAUUACCCUGAGAAGAAGAUAGAGACUGUGGGAGAGAGUGUGAUAUCAUUAAAGCAGUCAAACCCCUCUCUCUCUUACUGUGUUUCACUUCUGCCGAGGAAAAUUUUGCCUUAGCAAAUCACUCCACGCAUUGAAGUUUCUCACUGUUCCGUCUCUUCACUUUUCGUUUCUACUGGCAGUUUUGGGCGGUUUCGCUUUGGUCCCUGGCGUAUAGCUUCCAUGCUUUGCUCCUAGGAUCGAAGUGGUAAGAAGAGAAUGGGCAAGCACCAGAAAGAGUGCCCCAUGUUUCUUUCUGUCUCUGUUCCCCUUAUACAAUGUAUGAGGAUGCCUUUGGGUUUCCAGGAUACGUGUUUCGACUUUUGAGUCACUUCUUCCUGAGGUUUUCGGUUUGUUUUUCUUUUUUUCUUCUCUGUUGAUUUCAUCCUGUUAUUCUUUGUUGUGAGGCUCGGUGUUUGAACUCUGAAUGAGCACCUGUUAUCUAUUAUAGGAGAUGGAAGAAGAAUAGUCGCCUAACAACUACUUUGCCAACCAGCAUCUGUCAUUGGUUUCUACUUUGGAUUUUAGAUGUUUAGCCUCGAGUUUACUUUUCCUUCUACAUCUUCUUCUUCUUUUUUUUUUUUUUUGCAGGUCUCGAUUAGCAUGCACCAUCUGGUGUGUUUACUUUUCCCUUUGAUAUUUUGUUUGAUGUUCAGUGUCUGUUUUUCAUUCUUUCUUUUGAUUUCCUUUUUUGCAGGUUAGUGUGCUUUAAGUCCCUAUCAGCUUCCAUUGUCGUUGUGUGGUUUGGCUCCAUUUGAUAUGAUUAAAAUCUAAAAAUAAUUAUAGUAUAUUAUAAUAUUUAUUGAUUUCAAUAAACUUUCUCUUGGUUUGUUUGGUGUCUCUGUUGUAGCUGCAGCACUGUUGCUACACCACUGCCUUUUUCGCUCCAUUGUUGCUACACUGUUGUUGUUACCCCAUCACAACUGUCAUUGCUAUGGAUUGAUCAAGAGUAAGAAUUCCGAAGUAGAAGGGAAGUAGGAGAUGCUUUUGCUUUUGUAAUGUCCCGAGUUUCUCCUCCGUUUCCGGUGAUGAGCUAAAGCCAAUGAUUGACUUUGCUAAUUCCAUAAGCUUAUCUUACUAAUUGAAUUUCAAUUUUGCAUUCUCAUUCAAUUUUUUUUUUUUUUUGCUUAGUCUUUCAUCUUUCUGUUUCUUUUAUGGUUUCCUUUGUCAUAGGUCUGCGACAUCAUUUUGGUUUCCAGUCAGCCUUGAUGCUUUGUCAUAGUGGUGGCUAUGGACGAUAACUGAACUCGUCAAGGUGGCUCUAUUUCUUGCAUCAGGCUUAGGGUGCUUGGUGUUAGCAAUCGUCACAAUGGCUUUCACAAGCAAAUGGCGUUUGAUGGUGGUUUAUUUUUAUUGGCUUUAUUAUUUCUUUUUAGUUAUGUUUUUGGUCUCUCUCUCGAUUUUGUUUUUUGGUUUACUUUAUGGCUCACUUGUGGGGAUGCCAUUUACUGAAAGCACCAGCUGGUGCUGCCACGAUUCACCAUUCCAUAAUAUGCAUAGAGAGAGAUUAUUAAGGGUUUUUUAUUUCUCUUUUUUUAUUUGAUUAUUUUAUAAAAUGUAAAAGUUGAAACUGAAGACCAUAUUAUUUUUGCA